UACGUAGGUGACCAGCGUUGUCCGGAUUUACUGGGCGUAAAGAGCGCGCAGGCGGUCGUUCAAGUCGAGUGUGAAAGCCCCCGGCUCAACUGGGGAGGGUCAUUCGAUACUGAUCGACUUGAAGGCAGGAGAGGGAAGCGGAAUUCCCGGUGUAGUGGUGAAAUGCGUAGAUAUCGGGAGGAACACCAGUGGCGAAGGCGGCUUCCUGGCCUGUUCUUGACGCUGAGGCGCGAAAGCUAGGGGAGCAAACGG
rnacentral:rRNA from 1 species